GAAACAUUAUACUGGAAUGACAGCAUAAAUCAUCCCCAUAGGAGUCUGAGCAGUCUAGGCAGUAAUCUUAUAGAGCCCUGCUGAGGUAAAUAAGAACACUAAUUUGAAAUAAAUAAAAGACCAAUGGUGCUAAUGUGGGUGUCUCAAGAAUGUCAUUAAGUUUGUAAUGACAGUGUUUAUUUGGUGUAACGAUACUGGAUGUAGUAUAAUGCUGCUGUUUAAAUCAUAACUUUAUAGUUCAUGAUCCUGUCUCUUUUUCUUCAGAGAGUMUGUCAAGUUGGCUGUGUUUCCACAUCUAUCCUCCAAACCCCAGCGCUUUGUCGAAGGGCUUACGCGCAUGUGAAAUGUGAUUUUGAGUGAGUUCUGUUCCUCAUGCUGAAUACAAAAUUGGAAAAAAGCAAUAGAUGAUGCUAACAGGGCUGUCCAGUUGGAUCUUGCAAACCCUGAUAUAUACUGUAUCAGGGCGCUUGUGUGGAGUAGCGCAGAACAGAAAAAGAGAGCCAUUGUUGACUAAACUACAGCCUCAAGCUGAAUCCUUCUCAUGUCUGUGCUUUAAUCAUAAGGGGUGCCAUCAUAAAUAAUCUUAUGGCAAAAGGGAGCCUGCAGCCUUUAGAAAAAAAUAAAAGACCAUGAAAAGGUAUAGAAAUUUUUGUU
rnacentral:lncRNA from 1 species